UGGGGGAGUAUUGCACAAUGGGGGAAAGACCCUGAUGCAGCGACGCCGCGUGAGUGAAGAAGUAUUUCGGUAUGUAAAGCUCUGUCAGCAGGGAAGAAAAUGACAGUACCUGACCAAGAAGCCCCGGCUAACUACGUGCCAGCAGCCGCGGUAAUACGUAGGGGGCAAGCGUUAUCCGGAUUUACUGGGUGUAAAGGGAGCGCAGACGGUAAUGCAAGUCUGAAGUGAAAGCCCGGGGCCCGAAACCCCCGGGCAGCUGCUUUGGAAAUACUGUGUAACUGGAGUACAGGAGGGGCAGGCGGAAUUCCUGGUGUAGCGGUGAAAAUGCGUAGAUAUCAGGAGGAACACCGGCGGCGAAGGCGGCCUGCUGGACUGAAACUGACGUUGAGGCUCGAAAGCGUGGGGAGCAAACAGGAUUAGAUACCC
rnacentral:rRNA from 1 species